rnacentral:rRNA from 1 species
UACAGAGGGUGCAAGCGUUAAUCGGAAUUACUGGGCGUAAAGCGUGCGUAGUCGGUUAUCUAAGUCGGGUGUGAAAUCCCCGGGCUCAACCUGGGAAUUGCAUUCGAUACUGGAUAGCUAGAGUUCGGCAGAGGGAAGCGGAAUUCCGGUGUAGCGGUGAAGUGCGUAGAUAUCGGAAGGAACAUCAGUGGCGAAAGCGGCUUCCUGGACCAGAACUGACGAUCAGGCACGAAAGCGUGGGAGCAACAGG